rnacentral:lncRNA from 1 species
CCAUAUCUUUUGGAUGUCCCAUUUUCUUUUAGAUGGAUUUUAUCCCAUAGUUGAUACCUGGUCAGUUUCUCAAGUGGUGGAUACUCGAUUGUUCCUUUGCCAUCUGUUGUCAGUAACAUCAUCUGUAGGAAAUAACGAUCAGCAAUACUGUCCAUCUGCAACAGAGACACACUUGAUCCUACCUAGUCAAGGACACAGUUUCAGAUGCUGUUUCAGACCCUUUAACUUCUUUUGUUGGAAAUGAUUCCUGAAAACCCACAAGUUCCUUGCCACUUGCAGAAGAGCUUGGGCUCUGUGUGCAAGGCCUCCUUGAACUUCACAUGGCCUUCCUGGCUGCCCUGAAGUCCUGAUUGAGCUUCUACAGGGAAACAUUUGGAAAUCCUCUUGUUUUACGACAGUGUAGCACAGGUGGCAGUAGCUCUGUACAUCAAGGCACAUAUUAUCCAAGGCUCCUGCCGAAAUCAAGGCUCUCAUAUGUAUAUUCACUUUCAAAAGACUUCUGCCAAUGUGGAAAUUUUUGUUUUAAUUUAACUGCAUCUUAG